UGGUCAAGUUAUUAAGGGUGCAGGGCGGAUGCCUUGGCACUAGGAGCCGAUGAAGGACGUGAUAAGCUGCGAUAAGCUUCGGGGAGUUGCACGUAAACUUUGAUCCGAAGAUUUCCGAAUGAGGAAACUCACUUAGAGUAAUGUCUAAGUAUCAUUAAGUGAAUACAUAGCUUAAUGAGGGGAACUCAGGGAACUGAAACAUCUAAGUACCUGAAGGAAGAGAAAGAAAUUCGAUUCCGUAAGUAGCGGCGAGCGAACGCGGAUUAGCCCAAACCAAUAAAGUUUUCUUUAUUGGGGUUGCGGACAUAUCAUAACGAAGAGGUAUCGUAAUUGAAGAGGUUUGGAAAGACCCACCACAGAAGGUAAUAGUCCUGUAUGUUAAACGAGAAGACUUUAGAUAUGAUCCAGAGUACCACGGGACACGUGAAACCCUGUGGGAAGCAGGAGGGACCACCCUCCAAGGCUAAAUACUACCUAGUGACCGAUAGCGUAUAGUACCGUGAGGGAAAGGUGAAAAGAACCCCGGGAGGGGAGUGAAAUAGAACCUGAAACCCUGCACUUACAAGCUGUGGAAGCACAUUUCUUGUGUGACCGCGUACUUUUUGUAGAACGGGCCAACGAGUUACGUUAAGUAGCAAGGUUAAGCACUUAAGGUGCGGAGCCGUAGCGAAAGCGAGUUUUAACUGAGCGUUCAGUUACUUGACGUAGACCCGAAACCGGGCGACCUACCCAUGAGCAGGAUGAAGCGAAAGUAAAAUUUCGUGGAGGUCCGAACCCACGAGCGUUGAAAAGCUCGGGGAUGACUUGUGGGUAGCGGUGAAAUUCCAAUCGAGCCCGGAGAUAGCUGGUUCUCCCCGAAAUAGCUUUAGGGCUAGCCUCAAGGUGAGAGAUACGGAGGUAGAGCACUGAAUGUCCUAGGGGGUAUUGCACCUACCGAAGACUAUCAAACUCCGAAUGCCGUCAUCUUAUACUUGGGAGUCAGACUGUGGGUGAUAAGAUUCAUAGUCGAAAGGGCAACAGCCCAGAUCGUCAGCUAAGGUCCCUAAAUGUAAGUUAAGUGGUAAAGGAUGUGGGAUUGCACAGACAACCAGGAUGUUGGCUUAGAAGCAGCCACUCAUUUAAAGAGUGCGUAAUAGCUCACUGGUCGAGUGAUCCUGCGCCGAAGAUUUCCGGGGCUAAAACUUACUACCGAAGCUACGGCAUCAGUAAUGAUGGGUAGGGGAGCUUCCCAUACGGGUUGAAGCAUGACCGUAAGGACAUGUGGACAGUAUGGGAGUGAGAAUGUUGGCAUGAGUAGCGAGAUGUGGGUGAGAAUCCCACAGGCCGUAAACCCAAGGUUUCCAGGGGAAGGUUCGUCCGCCCUGGGUUAGUCGGGACCUAAGCUGAGGCCGAAAGGCGUAGGUGAUGGACAACAGGUUGAUAUUCCUGUACUACCGAUAACCGUUUGAGAGAAGGGAUGACACAGUAGGAUAAGCUAAGCACACUGUUGGUUAUGUGUGCCCAAGCAUUGAGGCAGUCAAAGUAGGCAAAUCCGCUUUGAUAAUGCUGGGAUGUGAUGGGGAGCGAAAUUUAGUAGCGAAGUAGCUGAUUUCACACUGUCAAGAAAAGUCUCUAUCGAGGUUAAAGGUACCCGUACCGCAAACCGACACAGGUGGGUGAGGAGAGUAUCCUAAGGCCAGCGAGAGAACUGUUGUUAAGGAACUCGGCAAAAUGACCCCGUAACUUAGGGAUAAGGGGUGCCACCAUCAGGUGGCCGCAGAGAAUAGGCCCAAGCGACUGUUUACCAAAAACAUAGGUUUCUGCUAAGUCGCAAGACGAUGUAUAGGAGCUGACGCCUGCCCGGUGCUGGAAGGUUAAGGGGAUCUGUUAGAGCAAUCGAAGCAGUGAACUUAAGCCCCAGUAAACGGCGGCCGUAACUAUAACGGUCCUAAGGUAGCGAAAUUCCUUGUCGGGUAAGUUCCGACCCGCACGAAAGGCGUAACGAUUUGGGCACUGUCUCAACAACAGACUCGGUGAAAUUGUAAUUCCGGUGAAGAUGCCGGAUACCUGCGACAGGACGGAAAGACCCCAUGGAGCUUUACUGUAGCUUGACAUUGGGUCUUGGUACUACAUGCACAGGAUAGGUGGGAGGCUUUGAAACCAGGACGCCAGUUUUGGCGGAGCCAUCCUUGGGAUACCACCCUUGUAGUACUGGGACUCUAACCAUAGGCCAUGAAUCUGGUCUUGGGACACUGUCAGGUGGGCAGUUUGACUGGGGCGGUCGCCUCCCAAAAGGUAACGGAGGCGCUCAAAGGUUCUCUCAGUACGGUCGGAAAUCGUACGUAGAGUGUAAAGGCAAAAGAGAGCUUGAUUGCAAGACAUACAGGUCGAGCAAGGAUGAAAAUCGGACUUAGUGAUCCGGUGGUUCUGCGUGGAAGGGCCAUCGCUCAACGGAUAAAAGCUACCCUGGGGAUAACAGGCUUAUCUCCCCCAAGAGUCCACAUCGACGGGGAGGUUUGGCACCUCGAUGUCGGCUCAUCACAUCCUGGGGCUGUAGUAGGUCCCAAGGGUUGGGCUGUUCGCCCAUUAAAGUGGUACGCGAGCUGGGUUCAGAACGUCGUGAGACAGUUCGGUCCCUAUCCGUCGCAGGCGUAGGAAAUUUGAGAAGACCUGUCCUUAGUACGAGAGGACCGGGAUGGACGUACCUCUGGUGUACCAGUUGUCCUGCCAAGGGCAUGGCUGGGUAGCUAUGUGCGGAAUGGAUAAGCGCUGAAAGCAUCUAAGCGCGAAGCCAACUUCAAGAUAAGAUUUCCCACCGCAAGGGUAAGACCCCAGAAAGACUAUCUGGUUGAUAGGUCGAAGGUGUAAGUGCAGCAAUGUAUUUAGCUUAUCGAUACUAAUAGGUCGAGGACUUGACCAAU
rnacentral:rRNA from 1 species